UCACUAGAACUUGUUGUCCCUCCAAACGUCAACUAGACCCAGUCCUCUGCUCGAUUGGGAAAUGGCUAAUUAACAAACACUCACAACAAGAAAUGUAUUUCCUUUCUUUUAUUAUUUGAUCAGCAGAUUGGGUAGACAGCAUGUAUACAGUUGCCAGUGGAUUUUAUCAUUUCAACUCUAAGACAUUGUCAACAUUCUGAAAAAAAUUGAAUUUCCACGAAAACACACCGAAUUGUAACACUUCUCUCUACUAUUGCACUAAUAUUUUUAAUUGCUAAAUUUCAUUUUCGAACUUCUUCUUUUUCACUCAGUCGCUAUCACUGCUACUACCAGAUGAGUCGGACCACGGUCGAUCUAAACAGGAAGAACACAUAUGUACGUUAGGGAGUGGUCAUAAUUUAUCAGGGGGGGUGGG